UUGCGGUAACCUUUUUCUCCCUCCCCGACAACCCGUCCUCGCGAGUCCAUUCGGACAGUGCUAAGAAAUUGGAGACGCAGACACAAAAGACUUGGUAGAGAUGAAUUAGCAGGCUGAAGAAAGGGAGA
ensembl:ncRNA M79.11 ncRNA